UACGUAGGGUGCGAGCGUUGUCCGGAAUUAUUGGGCGUAAAGGGCUCGUAGGCGGUUUGUCGCGUCGGGAGUGAAAUCCAUUGGCUUAACUGGUGGCUUGCUUUCGAUACGGGCAGACUGGAGGUAUGCAGGGGGAGAACGGAAUUCCUGGUGUAGCGGUGAAAUGCGCAGAUAUCAGGAGGAACACCAAGUGGCGAAGGCAGAUCUC
rnacentral:rRNA from 1 species